GGAGUUUCCCUGGACAAGUUCUUCUCUUGUUGCCACCGUGUGAGAUGUGCCUUUCACCUUCUGCCAUGAUUGUGAGGCCUUCCCAGCCACGUGGAACUACUAUUUAUUUAAAAAUACACAAGAAACUGUUGACUAUCACCCAUGGAGGGAAGGCUGAAGAACCGAGGGUCUGGUGUAGAAGAGAGAGUUCCUGAAAAUGAACAUUUUUGUCCAUCCCUGCUGCACCACUUCUUCAAGUAUAAGAUAUAUACUCACUUGUCCAGGGACAUCCCAGGGAAGGUGAACUUGCCCAGGCAGAUGCGAUAGACAGCGCUCAGAGGAAUCCGCUGCAGCUGCACACAACUCAGCAUGAUGAAGUCGUAUUUGCAGAUCAAGAGAGUCUUGUCUGUGACCAGUAGAAUUCUCUCCUUCUCAUUGUUCCAGUGGUCUAUCCUAUAGGAAUCAUCAUAGCAAAUAAAAAUUGAUGACACAGCCUAAGU
rnacentral:lncRNA from 10 species